rnacentral:rRNA from 1 species
GGGCCCGCACAAGCAGUGGAGUAUGUGGUUUAAUUCGACGAUACGCGAAAACCUUACCAGGGUUUGACAUCCCUCUGACAGCUCUAGAGAUAGAGCCUCCCUUCGGGGCAGAGGUGACAGGUGGUGCAUGGUUGUCGUCAGCUCGUGUCGUGAGAUGUUGGGUUAAGUCCCGCAACGAGCGCAACCCUUACGGUUAGUUGCUACGAAAGAGCACUCUAGCCGGACUGCCGUUGACAAAACGGAGGAAGGUGGGGACGAUGUCAAAUCAUCAUGCCCUUUAUAUCCUGGGCUACACACGUACUACAAUGGCCGUUAACAACGGGACACAAUGGCGCAAGCCGGAGUUAAUCCUCAAAAACGGUCUCAGUUCAGAUUGCAGGCUGCAACUCGCCUGCAUGAAGUCGGAAUUGCUAGUAAUCGCGGAUCAGCAUGCCG